CACACACAGACAUCACACACACACACACACACACACACACAGACAUCACACACACAGACAUCACACACACAGACAUCACACACACAGACAUCACGCACAAAACAGAUCAUUAUCCCACAUCCAAAGUAUAAAGACCCACAAGUGAUAGUACUGACCCCCCACGUCACCUCUCACUGUCUCAACCACACAGGUGACAGUCCUGACCCCCCACGUCACCUCUCACUGUCUCAACCACACAGGUGAUAGUACUGACCCCCCACGUCACCUCUCACUGUCUCAACCACACAGGUGAUAGUCCUGACCCCCCACGUCACCUCUCACUGUCUCAACCACACAGGUGAUAGUACUGACCCCCCACGUCACCUCUCACUGUCUCAACCACACAGGUGACAGUCCUGACCCCCCACGUCACCUCUCACUGUCUCAACCACACAGGUGAUAGUACUGACCCCCCACGUCACCUCUCACUGUCUCAACCACACAGGUGACAGUCCUGACCCCCCACGUCACCUCUCACUGUCUCAACCACACAAGUGAUAGUACUGACCCCCCACGUCACCUCUCACUGUCUCAACCACACAGGUGACAGUCCUGACCCCCCACGUCACCUCUCACUGUCUCAACCACACAGGUGAUAGUACUGACCCCCCACGUCACCUCUCACUGUCUCAACCACACAGGUGACAGUCCUGACCCCCCACGUCACCUCUCACUGUCUCAACCACACAGGUGAUAGUACUGACCCCCCACGUCACCUCUCACUGUCUCAACCACACAGGUGACAGUCCUGACCCCCCACGUCACCUCUCACUGUCUCAACCACACAGGUGAUAGUCCUGACCCCCCACGUCACCUCUCACUGUCUCAACCACACAGGUGACAGUACUGACCCCCCACGUCACCUCUCACUGUCUCAACCACACAGGUGAUAGCACUGACCCCCCACGUCACCUCUCACUGUCUCAACCACACAGGUGAUAGUACUGACCCCCAUGUCACCUCUCACUGUCUCAACCACACAGG